UGCUUUCGGUUUUGCUUCGAGUGUGGUU
rnacentral:sRNA from 1 species